GGAAAGGUGCCAGAGUGGCUGAAUGGGCUCCCCUGCUAAGGGAGUGGUCCGAUUUCGGGCCCACGAGUUCGAAUCUCGUCCUUUCCGCCA
rnacentral:tRNA from 1 species